rnacentral:rRNA from 1 species
GAUGAACGCUGGCGGCGUGCUUAACACAUGCAAGUCGAACGAUGAAGCCCAGCUUGCUGGGUGUAUUAGUGGCGAACGGGAGAGUAACACGUGAGUAACCUGCCCUUAACUCUGGGAUAAGCCUGGGAAACUGGGUCUAAUACCGGAUAGGAGCGUCCACCGCAUGGUGGGUGUUGGAAAGAUUUAUCGGUUUUGGAUGGACUCGCGGCCUAUCAGCUUGUUGGUGAGGUAAUGGCUCACCAAGGCGACGACGGGUAGCCGGCCUGAGAGGGUGACCGGCCACACUGGGACUGAGACACGGCCCAGACUCCUACGGGAGGCAGCAGUGGGGAAUAUUGCACAAUGGGCGCAAGCCUGAUGCAGCGACGCCGCGUGAGGGAUGACGGCCUUCGGGUUGUAAACCUCUUUCAGUAGGGAAGAAGCGAAAGUGACGGUACCUGCAGAAGAAGCACCGGCUAACUACGUG